GACUUCGGUCUCUAGCGGCGGACGGGUGAGUAACACGUGGGUAACCUGCCUCAAAGAGGGGGAUAGCCUCCCGAAAGGGAGAUUAAUACCGCAUAACAUUAAGCUAUCGCAUGGUAGUUUAAUCAAAGGAGCAAUCCGCUAUGAGAUGGACCCGCGGCGCAUUAGCUAGUUGGUGAGGUAAAGGCUCACCAAGGCGACGAUGCGUAGCCGACCUGAGAGGGUGAUCGGCCACAUUGGAACUGAGACACGGUCCAGACUCCUACGGGAGGCAGCAGUGGGGAAUAUUGCACAAUGGGCGAAAGCCUGAUGCAGCAACGCCGCGUGAGUGAAGAAGGCCUUCGGGUUGUAAAGCUCUGUCUUUUGGGACGAUAAUGACGGUACCAAAGGAGGAAGCCACGGCUAACUACGUGCCAGCAGCCGCGGUAAUACGUAGGUGGCAAGCGUUGUCCGGAUUUACUGGGCGUAAAGGAUGCGUAGGUGGAUAUUUAAGUGGGAUGUGAAAUACCCGGGCUCAACUCGGGUGCUGCAUUCCAAACUGGAUAUCUAGAGUGCAGGAGAGGUAAGUGGAAUUCCUAGUGUAGCGGUGAAAUGCGUAGAGAUUAGGAAGAACACCAGUGGCGAAGGCGACUUACUGGACUGUAACUGACACUGAGGCAUGAAAGCGUGGGGAGCAAACAGGAUUAGAUACCCUGGUAGUCCACGCCGUAAACGAUGAGUACUAGGUGUGGGAGGUAUCGACCCCUUCCGUGCCGCAGUUAACACAAUAAGUAUCCCGCCUGGGGAGUACGGCCGCAAGGCUAAAACUCAAAGGAAUUGACGGGGGCCCGCCCAAGCGGCGGAGCAUGUGGCUUAAUUCGACGCAACGCGAAGAACCUUACCUAGACUUGACAUCUCCUGAAUUACCCGUAACUGGGGAAGUCCUUCGGGACAGGAAGACAGGUGGUGCAUGGUUGUCGUCAGCUCGUGUCGUGAGAUGUUGGGUUAAGUCCCGCAACGAGCGCAACCCUUAUUGUUAGUUGCUACCAUUUAGUUGAGCACUCUAGCGAGACUGCCCGGGUUAACCGGGAGGAAGGUGGGGAUGACGUCAAAUCAUCAUGCCCCUUAUGUCUAGGGCUACACACGUGCUACAAUGGUCGGUACAAUGAGAUGCAACCUCGCGAGAGUGAGCAAAACUAUAAAACCGAUCUCAGUUCGGAUUGUAGGCUGAAACUCGCCUACAUGAAGCUGGAGUUACUAGUAAUCGCGAAUCAGAAUGUCGCGGUGAAUACGUUCCCGGGCCUUGUACACACCGCCCGUCACACCAUGAGAGUUGGCAAUACCCAAAGUCCGUGAGGUA
rnacentral:rRNA from 1 species